GGAAUAAGCUGAAUUCUGACCUUGUGUAUUUAGCAGAUAUAAGCUGACAAAGGACUACUUUAUUUAUAGUCCCAAACUUUUGUUUAAAGAUCCAUAUGCACUUGGUUUUUAGAUCCAUGAACAUGGGAAAACUGCAAUUCAUGCAUAUUCUUUCACACAUCUGUUGAGCUUUUUGUGGACAGAGGAAAAUCUGUCUCAUCAGAGGCCUCCAAGACACAUUCCAGAAAAACAGGAGUGGUAACAGCAUUAGGAAAAUAUACUCAGUGUGUCACAAGAGCACAGAGAAGAAUCGCCUCCUAUUGCUAUAGUGGCUGCCAAGUCCAUGCCAUUCAAGAUAUAUCUUUCAUGCUAACAUUGUCUGCUUCAAAGGGGGUUUGCUCAGCCAAAGUAGAGUUAAUUUUAUUUGCCCACUGAGGCUCAGGCCAGUUCUUCAGCAUUUAGUACUAUGUGUGACCUCUCACGAAAGACCAAACAGGAAAGGGUUUUGCAGUAUGCUCAGCAGAACAGUAGAGACGUGCAGAACUCCAUGCUCUGCCCAGUCAUUCCACCACUCCUCUGGAAUAUACUUCCAGACGUGCAGUUUUUAAUCACGAAGAGAGAACUGGUCAACCUCAAAGGAAACGGAACAGAAAACUAAAACUGAAAGCAAAACCAUUUUGUAAUGCUGGUACGUUUUAAAGAAAAUGCAGGAAGCACAGAAUUGAGCCCACUGGCAAACUUGAUCCACUCAAGCAGCCUGAUAUUAGUCCUUUGAAUAAAUCCAGCAGGUUUUCACACAGCGAUUGUCUGAGCAGAGUGGCCCAUCUUCCUCAUCCCACAAUACAUCUGCUGCUUCGUGGAAACACACCAGUGAAAACCACCAACAGUAGACCAAUUUGCAAACUGCUCCCUAGCUUCCUCAUCCAAAAUUGCAAACAACCAUGUCCUACACAAGGAUGUACGUGUGUGUGUGUGUGUGUGUGUGUGUGUGUGUGUGUGUGUGUGUGUGUGUGUGUGUGUGUAAGAGCAAACAGAGCUGUAAAUAGAGAUUGCUCUUUACUCUGUAAGUAUUGAUCCAUCUGUUCAAUACGAUUACCUCGAUAGACAUUGCAAAGCACGCCACUAAUCCCUUUCCUAAAUACUGGUCUUCAUUACAGGAAAGAGCAGAACUCAGCAGCAAAGAGAAUGUGUUGCUUAAAAUGGGAGCUAGAAGUAAUCCCUCGGGCAAUAGGUAGGGAGCCAUGCUUCCUCUCAUCUCACAGAGCUUCCCAGCUCAAUGUCAUGGUGUGCACAACUGUCCUGAGCCACACAGCCUGUGCUGGACAAACCUGAGACAGCCCAGAAGGUCAGAGGUUUCCCAGGUUCGAGGGACUGUAUGUGAGGAUUACCUCACUGGUGACAGAAUGUGCUUGGUACCCAGCUAACCGACAAAUCUAAUCAAAAGCCAGAUAAUAAUGCUUCUGUAUGCAGAGACGGGGAAAGCCUACCGGGAUGGAAGCUUUUGUCUGUGAUGCCUCUAAAGGUCGUGUAUCUGAACCUGCCCAAAAUCAAAUGGUAAAUGGAAAUACACAUUGCUUUUGUCUCCUGAAGGAAAGCAUGGCAUUGUGGUGGUCCCUUUUGAUGUCUGAAUUUCUGGGCUUUUCAUACCUAUCCCUUUAGGCUUAUCUUCUAAAACAUAUAUGUGUGUGUGUGUGUGUGUGUGUGUGUGUGUGUGUGUGUGCGUGCGUGCGUGCGUGUGUGUGUGUGUGUGUGUGUGUAUAAAGUAUUCAAUUUCUGUGUUAGAAUAAGUGAAAGAACUCAGUUUCAGAAUUACCAACUAUAUAUUUCCAUUUAUGUGACAUUUUGGGAAAGGCAGAAAAUACAGGAAUAGCCAAUGGAUAAGAGGUCCUUAGGGUUAAGAAGAAAAGAGGUUGUGAAUCCAUGGGUGGUUAGAAGGUAUUAGGACAUUAACACUUAUUUCUUGGCUACCCUGAGUGGCUGUAAGAAUCUAUGUGGGUAUACACACAGAACUUAUAUAGCCUCUGCAAACCAAAUUUUACUGUGAAGGAAAAUGUCAAAUUGACUUAAAUAUCAUGUGCUUCUAUCUGUGCCAGUGUGUCAGCAGGAAUCGGGUGGUGGCGCAUCCCACCUCCAGUCUACAUCAGUACCACCAUGGCAUCAUCAUGUCAGCAUCAUUAGCAUGAUGUCAGCAUCAUUAGCAUGUUAGUGCAGCCUUAUUUCUGGCAUUAGUACAGUGGUGUUACAUCUGGGUCCACUAGGCUCUCCAAUGCCUCAUAUCUAAGAAAUAGAGUUCAAAUGAUAUACUUCCAGGUCAGUUAGGCUCUCAAUACCUCAUAUCUUAGAGCUCAAAUGGUGUAUUUCCGGGUCAGCUACGCUCUCCAAUGCCUCAUCUAAGAAACAGAGCUUAAAUGGUGUACUUCUGGGUCAGCUAGGCUCUCAAUGCCACAUACCUAAAACACGGAGUUCAAACUGAAGUAAUCUGCCAUUGCCAUGAAGUUUUCACUGUUUCCAUCUUCCUGGCUUCUGUUUCGUUUCUCCAGGUUCAGGAGCCACUGUUUUUAAAUUUAUAACUAAACAUAAUUAAAAGUAAGACAUUUUUACUUUGUUUUACCAAAAGCUAUAACUCACCAUACAUUCUCCUCUUUUUUCCCCCCUUCAUUUUUCUUUCUUCAAAAGGAAUGGUUUCUCAGCAUGCACAAGGCAGGAGUUCAAUUCUCAACCUAAUAAAGAAAGAGGAGGGGGGUUGGGGAUUUAGCUCAGUGGCAGAGCGCUUGCCUAGCAAGUGCAAGGCCCUGGGUUCGGUCCCUAGCUCCGGAAAAAAAAAGAAAGAAAGAAAAGAAAGAAAGAAAGAGGAGGAAGAACACAGGAGAACGGAGGAGUUGUGGUUUUGAGACGCGCUUUGGGUAGGAAACCUCAAGACACCCGAAGGUCAAGUUCUCAGAACAAAGAUUUAUCUACACAUGAGGGAUGUACACAGGAGGGAUAAAGGGCACAAAAUAAGAUAAAAAAACAGGAGACCAAGGAUGAGGGGAGAUAUGAAGAAAAGGGAAAGGAGGCCCAGAUAUUUAUCCUGGAGGGACAAGACUGCCUCUGGAGAGAGAGGAGACAGACCCAUAAGCAAAUGGCAAUUUAUAAAGCUUACCUCAAGAACGGCAGCACAGACCCCUUCUCUUCUAGAUGGAAAUGAAGCAGAGACCUUGCCACUGUCACAUUUCCCAAAGGGUGCCUGGUCCCAGGAGAGUUAAAUACACCCAACCUAGUGUCCAGCAUCCUCCUGACCCGCAGAUGCGGUGCUACGGCUGUGGGUGGAGAGUGAAGAAGGAAGUCUGGCCUUUCAACCCUGCUGUCGCCUCUGUACCUCCUCCACUCUUCACCCUGUCAGCCGGGAGAGACAUGGGGACUGUGGCUGGGUAUGCUUUUAGGUGUUGAUAUUGUUCGGUCUCCAAAAUUCUGUAGAAGAGGAGGAGGGGAGGGAGAGGAGAAGGCAUAAGAAUAGAGGAGGAAGAGAAAAGAAAAGAAGGA
rnacentral:lncRNA from 1 species